CCUACGGGGUGCAGCAGUAGGGAAUCUUCCACAAUGGGCGAAAGCCUGAUGGAGCAACGCCGCGUGGGUGAAGAAGGUCUUCGGAUCGUAAAACCCUGUUGUUAGAGAAGAAAGUGCGUGAGAGUAACUGUUCACGUUUCGACGGUAUCUAACCAGAAAGCCACGGCUAACUACGUGCCAGCAGCCGCGGUAAUACGUAGGUGGCAAGCGUUAUCCGGAUUUAUUGGGCGUAAAGGGAACGCAGGCGGUCUUUUAAGUCUGAUGUGAAAGCCUUCGGCUUAACCGGAGUAGUGCAUUGGAAACUGGGAGACGUGAGUGCAGAAGAGGGGAGUGGAACUCCAGGUGGAGCGGUGAAAUGCGUAGAUAUAUGGAAGAACACCAGUGGCGAAAGCGGCUCUCUGGUCUGUAACUGACGCUGAGGUUCGAAAGCGUGGGUAGCAAACAGGAUUAGAUACCCCAGUAGUC
rnacentral:rRNA from 1 species